GACGACAAGACCCUAAAAGCUUAAAAUUAAAGAGUAUUUAUUAUAAAAUAAAUUUUUGGCUGGGGUAGCAGAAUUAUUUGAUUUAAUUGUGGCUAAGAUUUAUGUAAAUAUGAAAGAUCCUUUAUAUAAGGAUGGGUAGAGCUAGUUACUUUAGGGAUAACAGCGCAAUUAUUUUGCAGAGUCCUUAUUGAUAAAAUAGAUUGCGACCUCGAUGUUGAAUUAGAGUUUCUUUAUGAAGUAAGUGAUGUACAAGAGGGUUUGUUCAACCUGUAAAUCUCUACAUGAUCUGGUU
rnacentral:rRNA from 1 species